GGGUGGCUUAGUAGGUUAAGUGUCUGACUUUGGCUUAGUUCAUGAUCUCAAGGUUUGUGGGUUCAAGCCCCACACCCA
rnacentral:tRNA from 1 species